UGUUGCAAAGAGGGCACUCCAGAGUCUUGGUAAGGAGUCCGGCUCAGCUUUUCCGAGUUCAAGACAGGCAACUACACUGCAGCAAACCUCGCAAGUGAGCACCCGAAUUAUGCCAGAGUUCAAAGUCGGGAAAACUGUAAAACUGUCACACCAAACAGCCUCCUGCUUGGUCGAGCAUCUAAAAAUGGAGACCCCAAAACAUUUGACUUUUCCAGCUACCCCUACAAAAGGCUAAGGGCAAUGGAGGCGGAGGUAACCAAGUUCUGGAAAUUUUGGAGUCAAAUCGCAGGUCCCCAUCUCGUUGUCCGAAGCAAGUGGCAUACCACUGAAAGAAAUAACAUUGUGGGAGUCAUCGUCUGGUUAUGCGACCAGAACGCACUAAGAGGUCACUUCAAGCUUGACGGAAUUGACAGCACCAAUCCAGACAACAAAGUCAUUGUGAGGGAUGUCCACAUCUGGAUUUUCCCAAGCUACUGUGUCCCCCUGACAAAAGCCCAAAAGGCAAAGACCAGCCAUCCCAAUUCAAACAGAAGAAAGGAAAAGCUCCAAGCCACCAUUCUGCACAUAGACGUAAGACGAUUGGUUGUCCUUUUAAGUAUGCAGCUCCAGCUCAGACUUCAGGCCAACAAACACUAGGAUAAUUUGCCAAAACAGUAGUGCCCAACUGUUUACAGCGACCAGGGUGGCCGACGGGUAGCGGGGGGGAUGCUGGAGCCUAUCUCAGCUGCAUUUGGGCGGAAGGCGGCGUACACCCUGGACAAGUCGCCACCUCAUCACAGGGCCAACACAGAUAAGACAUUCACACUCACAUUCACACACUCGGGGGUAUUUUAGUGUUGCUAAUCAACCUAUUCCCAGGUGCAUGUUUUUGGAGGUGGUAAGAAGCCGGAGUACCCAGAAAGAACCCACGCAGUCACGGGGAGAACAUGCAAACUCCACACAAAAAGAUCCCGAGCCCGAAAUUGAACCCAAGACUACUCAGGACCUUUGUAUUGUGAGGCACAUGCACUAACCCCUGUGACACCGUGCUUCCCUUAAAAAUGGUUUAUUGAAAUUGAAUUUGUUUGUAUUGGUCCCUAAUUGCUUUUGUAUUUUUUCACCUUCUCCAAAGGUUUUUCACCUUUCAACUAUUUAAUGAAAAAAAGAGACAAACAAGUCCAAAAUAAAAGGAGAAACAGAGAUUUUUCUCAUCAUUUGAUUAAAACAAAGAAUGAGGUCCCACUGCAACCCCUGGUCAACAAUUCAAAACCCUUUUUUAAGUUAGGGGAGAGCACAAACAAACAAAACAUAACUUCACACUGGCUUCAAUGACUAAUGUACUAAAGUUACUAAGUCAUACUGUACCAGCUUAGUGGAUGUUGAAGGUGUGCAGGAAGUGUCACUUAGAUCUGAGUGACUCAUGCUGUUGCUUUCAGUCUGUGAUGAAGCCGGUGAAGAGAUCUUGGCAACAGAAUCGCAGUUCUGGCUUUCUUCAGGCUCCUGUGUACCUAUUGUUAACAGUGUUACAGUGUUAGUACAGCACAUGACUUUAAACCUCCAUGCUCUGCUCACAUGUAUGUGUUCACAAAUUGCAUUGUGAUUAUUUACUGACAAUAAACUAAGAGAAAUGCAUUUGAGAGAAUAAAAGAUCAUGAUAAAA